rnacentral:rRNA from 1 species
UACGAAGGUGGCAAGCGUUGUUCGGAUUUACUGGGCGUACAGGGAGCGUAGGCGGUUGGAUAAGCCCUCCGUGAAAUCUCCAGGCUUAACCUGGAAAGUGCAGAGGGGACUGUUCAGCUAGAGGAUGGGAGAGGAGCGCGGAAUUCCCGGUGUAGCGGUGAAAUGCGUAGAGAUCGGGAGGAAGGCCGACGGCGUAGGCAGCGCCCUGGACGACACCCGACGCUGAGGCACGAAAGCUGGGGGAGCGAACAGG